GUGUUGCUUCAGCAGCACAUAUACUAAAAAUUGGAAUGAUACAGAGAAGAUUAGCAUGGCACCUGCAAAGGAUGACAAGCAAAUUCAUGAAGUGUUCCAUAUAUUU
rnacentral:snRNA from 1 species